UAUGCUGAAGCACAUGAAUGUUCGGUUUGAUGAAAACCUGAUAUAAUUAACACUUUAUGGGAUAAUCCGACUGGAAAAGGAGUCCUGGUUAUUCUGAUUAUUUCUCUUGAUAGGUCUUCUGUGAUGUAAGACUCUCAGAUUAUUGUGAAAUUGAAGCAAUAAUAAUCUCUAAUAACCCAAAUCUUCUGCCUUCUUUUUCUCUUUUUCUUCAGGUCUUCUAAAUUGUAAGACUGUACAGGUGCAGCAGCGUCCAUGUUCACCUGCACAGGUUCAGGUUUACCCAUGAAGACCUCUCAGAGCGGCACCUCUGUCAUCACUCUCGAAUCUGACGACUUUUCCACUUCAGACUGGGUCCUAUUAUUCUUCCCUUUGUGUGGGGCAACACGUCAUGUCACAUCUCAAAAGCUCAUGAACAUAAAUCAGCGGAUCGUGGAAGCCUUGGUCUUCCCAUUUUAACAGCUGUGAGACCGGAACACAUUCCCUCUUGGUCCCAACUGGAAGCUCCUGAGAUUGACCAUCUUUGUCCGUUUUUAUUCUCUUGUCCCUCACUAGAUGAAUCCACUCAGAAAUCUUUUGUCGUAAGGAAUUCCCAAUCACGUCAGAUUAGGAAAGCCAACCGUAAUUUAGAGAGACUCUGGAAUACACAGCUGUUCACUGUUUGGAAUGUGCUCGAUAAAAUAACUGACAUCAGGUUGGAAAUCCACAGCUCUGUGAAUGUUGAACGUUGGAGAUGGUCUCUGACAUAACGCUAUGUUUGAGAGGGGAGCCUCCUUGGCCCAGUACUGUAUCAUCUCACCAGCUGUAGUAUUGGGACUUUCCAUUAUUGGUGCAGUACUACUAUUGAUUUACCACAUUUGUAUUGUCAUACACAAAAGUCAGUUGCAUGUUUUGUUGUCUUGUCUGGCAGUCACUGUUCUGUUUUUGCUGUUUCUUUGCUGUUUCAAUAAAAAAUUAU